AGGUGGCUGGUGCAGAUGGAUGAGAAGGUGGCUGGUGCAGAUGGAUGAGAAGGUGGCUGGUGCAGGCGGCUGAUGCAGAUGGAUGAGAAGGUGGCUGGUGCAGGCGGCUGAUGAAGGUGGCUGGUGCAGGCGGCUGAUGAAGGUGGCUGGUGCAGGCGGCUGAUGAAGGUGGCUGGUGCAAAUGGAUGAUGAAGGCGUAGGCGCUUGGUGUGGGCGACUGGUGCAGGCGACUGAAGGC